rnacentral:rRNA from 1 species
UACGGAGGAUGCGAGCGUUAUCCGGAUUUAUUGGGUUUAAAGGGUGCGUAGGCGGCAUUAUAAGUUAGUGGUAAAAUAUUGGGGCUUCACCUCACUACGCCAUUAAUACUGUAGGACUAGAGAUCGGAUGCAGCAGGCGGAAUGUGUAGUGUAGCGGUGAAAUGCAUAGAUAUUACACAGAACACCGAUUGCGAAGGCAGCUUGCUAGGCCGGAUCUGACACUGAUGCACGAAAGCGUGGGGAUCGAACAGG